AUUGAACGCUGGCGGCAGGCUUAACACAUGCAAGUCGAGCGAGCGGCGGACGGGUGAGUAAUGUCUGGGAAACUGCUUGAUGGAGGGGGAUAAUUACUGGAAACGGUAGCUAAUACUGCAUACCAUAAGAGGUGCCCAGAUGGGAUUAGCUAGUAGGUGGGGUAAUGGCUCACCUAGGCGACGAUCCCUAGCUGGUCUGAGAGGAUGGCCAGCCACACUGGAGCUGAACCACGGGCCAGCCUCCUACGUGAGGCAGCGGUGGGGAAUAUUGCACAGUGGGCGCGAGCCUGGUGCAGCCAUGCCGCGUGUGUGAAGAGGGCCUUCGGGUUGUAAAGCACUUUCAGCGGGGAGGCGUUACUCGCAGAAGAAGCACCGGCUAACUCCGUGCCAGCAGCCGCGGUAAUAC
rnacentral:rRNA from 1 species